GGAUGUAUGGCGAAAUUGGUAAACGCUACGCUCUAUAAUGGGGAAGGUCAAACCCUAGGCGAAGAGGUUGACAACUCUUUCCGGUUCGAGUCCGGAUACAUCCA
rnacentral:tRNA from 1 species